ACCUGGGUGGCUCAGUGGUUGAGCGUCUGCCUUCAGCUCAGGUUGUGAUCCCCAGGUC
rfam:Canis lupus familiaris chromosome 4, whole genome shotgun sequence.